AGAACGAACGCUGGCGGCAGGCUUAACACAUGCAAGUCGAGCGCCCCGCAAGGGGAGCGGCAGACGGGUGAGUAACGCGUGGGAAUCUACCCUUUUCUACGGAAUAACGCAGGGAAACUUGUGCUAAUACCGUAUACGCCCUUCGGGGGAAAGAUUUAUCGGGAAAGGAUGAGCCCGCGUUGGAUUAGCUAGUUGGUGGGGUAAAGGCCUACCAAGGCGACGAUCCAUAGCUGGUCUGAGAGGAUGAUCAGCCACAUUGGGACUGAGACACGGCCCAAACUCCUACGGGAGGCAGCAGUGGGGAAUAUUGGACAAUGGGCGCAAGCCUGAUCCAGCCAUGCCGCGUGAGUGAUGAAGGCCCUAGGGUUGUAAAGCUCUUUCACCGGUGAAGAUAAUGACGGUAACCGGAGAAGAAGCCCCGGCUAACUUCGUGCCAGCAGCCGCGGUAAUACGGAAGGGGCUAGCGUUGUUCGGAAUCACUGGGCGUAAAGCGCGCGUA
rnacentral:rRNA from 1 species